rnacentral:lncRNA from 1 species
CCAAAUCAAACUGAAUAAAGUCCAGCUAUACAAAGCUUGCAGAAAUCUACAUAACAGUAGUAUACGAAAUAUUCUAAAAUACAAUCAUGUAAAGAAGAAAAAGUAAAUCAAAACUUCAAACUCCCAUUUUUCAUAUGUAUUCAUGCUUCUACAUUUUUCAGCUUACAAUAGCCAGUGUUUCGCUCGUGUACCUGGUAUUGGAAAUAAGAGAAGAGGAAGAUGAGAAUUAGCAGCAGUAGUAACAAUACAGCACAUCAACAACUAGCAAAGCAGUAAUGCAAUAACCAAGUAACAGAUUUGGAAACCAACAGGACAAAUUCCAGCAACAACCAGUGGAACAGUAACCAAAUAACCAACCAAACUUAGGAAACAAAUCAAAUGAAACCCCAUAAAUACCAACAACAAUCAAGGAUAGAAACGAAGUGAGCAAGAAAUGCGAUAGGAUAGUAGAUUUCUAACUCUCUACUUAACAAUAACAAACACUUAUUCUGAUUUCAGUAGUCAAAGGAAGACCUCACUUUUUCAGCUUUUAGCUCUUAAAUUACUGACCCUUUUUAGAUUCUAAGACUAGUCAAUUUUUUACUCUCAAAUUCUGACUCUCCAAGAUUUUUUUC